rnacentral:rRNA from 1 species
AGAGGUGGCGAGCGUUGUUCGGAUUUACUGGGCGUAAAGGGUGCGUAGGCGGUCCUGUAUGUCGGAUGUGAAAUCUCACCGUCCAACGGUGAAACUGCAUUCGAAACUGCAAGACUAGAGUACAGGAGGGGAGAGCGGAAUUCUCGGUGUAGCGGUGAAAUGCGUAGAUAUCGAGAAGAACGCCGGUGGCGAAGGCGGCUCUCUGGACUGAUACUGACGCUGAGGCACGAAAGCUGGGGGGGGAGCGAAGAGGAUUAGAUACCCUCGUAGUCCCAGCCGUAAACGGUGUGCACUUGGUGUGGGUGGCUUUGUCCCCAUCCGCGCCGUAGCUAACGCGUUAAGUGCACCGCCUGGGAGUACGGCCGCAAGGCUA